rnacentral:rRNA from 2 species
UGGGGGAUAUUGGUCAAUGGGGGAAACCCUGAACCAGCAACGCCGCGUUAAGGAUGACGGUCUUCGGAUUGUAAACUUUUGUUGUUGAGGAAGAUAAUGACGGUACUCAACGAGGAAGCCACGGCUAACUACGUGCCAGCAGCCGCGGUAAUACGUAGGUGGCAAGCGUUGUCCGGAUUUACUGGGGGUAAAGGGUGCGUAGGCGGGAGAUAAAGUCAGAUGUGAAAUACCGAAGCUUAACUUCGGGGCUGCAUUUGAAACUUAUCUUCUUGAGUGAGGUAGAGGCAAGCGGAAUUCCUAGUGUAGCGGUGAAAUGCGUAGAUAUUAGGAGGAACACCAGUGGCGAAGGCGGCUUGCUGGGCCUUAACUGACGCUGAUGCACGAAAGCAUGGGGAGCAAACAGG